rnacentral:hammerhead_ribozyme from 1 species
GUUCAGAUGACUAGUCCCAAAUUAGACGAAACGUGCUUCCUGGAU